CAACCUACCUAUCAGAGGGGAAUAACCCGGCGAAAGUCGGACUAAUACCGCAUAAAACAGGGGCACCGCAUGGUGAUAUUUGUUAAAGAAAUUCGCUGAUAGAUGGGCAUGCGUUCCAUUAGGUAGUUGGUGAGGUAACGGCUCACCAAGCCGACGAUGGAUAGGGGAACUGAGAGGUUGGUCCCCCACACUGGUACUGAGACACGGACCAGACUCCUACGGGAGGCAGCAGUGAGGAAUAUUGGUCAAUGGGCGGGAGCCUGAACCAGCCAAGUCGCGUGAAGGAAGAAGGAUCUAUGGUUCGUAAACUUCUUUUGCAGGGGAAUAAAGUGCAGGACGUGUCCUGUUUUGUAUGUACCCUGAGAAUAAGGAUCGGCUAACUCCGUGCCAGCAGCCGCGGUAAUACGGAGGAUCCGAGCGUUAUCCGGAUUUAUUGGGUUUAAAGGGUGCGUAGGUGGUUUGAUAAGUCGGCGGUGAAAGUUUGCAGCUUAACUGUAAAAAUGCCGUUGAAACUGUCGGACUUGAGUGUAAAUGAGGUAGGCGGAAUGCGUGGUGUAGCGGUGAAAUGCAUAGAUAUCACGAAGAACUCCGAUUG
rnacentral:rRNA from 1 species